GAUGAACGCUGGCGGCGUGCCUAAUACAUGCAAGUCGAGCGAACAGACGAGGAGCUUGCUCCUCUGACGUUAGCGGCGGACGGGUGAGUAACACGUGGAUAACCUACCUAUAAGACUGGGAUAACUUCGGGAAACCGGAGCUAAUACCGGAUAAUAUAUUGAACCGCAUGGUUCAAUAGUGAAAGACGGUUUUGCUGUCACUUAUAGAUGGAUCCGCGCCGCAUUAGCUAGUUGGUAAGGCAACGGCUUACCAAGGCAACGAUGCGUAGCCGACCUGAGAGGGUGAUCGGCCACACUGGAACUGAGACACGGUCCAGACUCCUACGGGAGGCAGCAGUAGGGAAUCUUCCGCAAUGGGCGAAAGCCUGACGGAGCAACGCCGCGUGAGUGAUGAAGGUCUUCGGAUCGUAAAACUCUGUUAUUAGGGAAGAACAAAUGUGUAAGUAACUAAGCACGUCUUGACGGUACCUAAUCGGAAAGCCACGGCUAACUACGUG
rnacentral:rRNA from 1 species